rnacentral:rRNA from 1 species
UACGAGUGCCCCAAGCGUUAUCCGGAAUCAUUGGGCGUAAAGGGUGUGUAGGUGGUCUAGUUAGUCUUCUGUUAAAUUCUUCGGCUUAACCGGGGGCAUGCAGAGGAAACGGCUAGACUCGAGGAUGCAAGAGGCAAACGGAACUCAUAGUGGAGGGGUGAAAUCCGUUGAUAUUAUGGGGAACACCAAAUGCGAAGGCAGUUUGCUGGUGCACUCCUGACACUGAAACACGAAAGCGUGGGUAGCGAAUGGG